UCUCCCCUCCUCUUAAGAAAAAAGGUUCAAGCUUAAGGUUAUGUCCCUAAACGAAAACCCAAUUGGAGGGACAAGUACGGCAACCCUGAGCUAUGCCUCCAAACUGCUUGGCUUUGGGAUUAAGCUAUGAGUCUAGGGUCAAGUAGCCGUUGGGAACCCAGUCCCAAGAUCUGGCCGCCUUUGCAUCUUCCAUGGGUCCCACCUCGUGCUGAGAUUCUUGGGCGGUGAUGGAUCCCAGCGCUGGGUCGCUGCCGUGGGUCCGGAUAGAGCCCUGGGUGAGGUCCACUUACAAAGGAAGUGGGAUGGAUGUGGGGCCAUUUCGGGUCCCUCAGCCCAAAGACUGU
rnacentral:lncRNA from 1 species